UACGUAGGGGGCAAGCGUUGUCCGGAAUCAUUGGGCGUAAAGAGCGUGUAGGCGGUUCGGUAAGUCGGCUGUGAAAGUCCAGGGCUCAACCCUGGGAUGCCGGUCGAUACUGCCGGACUAGAGUUCGGAAGAGGCGAGUGGAAUUCCCGGUGUAGCGGUGAAAUGCGCAGAUAUCGGGAGGAACACCUAUGGCGAAGGCAGCUCGCUGGGACGUUACUGACGCUGAGACGCGAAAGCGUGGGGAGGAAACAGG
rnacentral:rRNA from 1 species